ensembl:lncRNA
CUCCGACAAGCUGAGCUGCCUCAAACAGACAUUCUCUAACUGCAGAGCUGCCUGCAAGUUGUACAGGGGGCUCUAGGUUUACGGUUUUUGUGACAUGGUGAGCUUUUGUGCUGCAGCUAUCUUUUGAGUAAUUUUUGCUCAUAUGGUAACCCCUCACCCACUCUUCCUUAAGGAACCCCAGUAAAACUCAUUGGUUUACUACCCUGGACUUGGGUGAUAUCCUUAUUUUGGUUUGUCACUAGUUCCCUAAUUGGGGUAAGCAGACAUUUGUUCACAUCUUCCCAAGGGUAAUGUCACAUGGCAGUGUGAUAUUAAGGGUCUCUGAGUACAAAACGGGAACAUUUCUUCCUUUAGGUGCCCCUUUGUCCCUAGCAAGUGGUUCAGUGACCCAAGUCUGGUAAGAUACCAGCCACAUUUAAGAUUAGCAAGCCCCAGAGCCUAAUCUAAGAAUUCCCAGCCAUACCAAAUGGAGUGAAAGAGUGGGUGAGAAAAACUGAGUCCCAGUCAUGGACAAGGGAAGAAGUCCCUUAAUGCCACCUGCCACCCGAGGAUCCAGGAAAGUGGGUGUUAGUUGAGCUGAGAUUGAGCUAAGAAAGGUGGAGGGAAUUCGAAGGACAAACCAGAGCAGGGAGAAGUGGGGGUACAAGAGUGGAGUCAGUGUCACCCCUGUAAACACAGAAGGAACUGUCACCUAUACCCUGUAGGAAUAUUAUCCUGCCCUACAGCAUCUCUUGAGAAACCAUGGAGGCUGGUUGUGGUGACAACGCCUUUGAUCUCUGAUCUACAUAGUGAGUUGGGAGGCAGAGGAGCUACACACCCUGGUGAGGGGAGAGAGAACGAUUAUGCCAAUGUGUCCUGUGACCCUGAGUCAUGGGACACAUGGGGGGGAGCAGGUCUCUCUGUGUAGCUCUAACUGUCCUGGAACUCACAGAGAUCAUUCUGCCUGUGCCCCCAGAGUGCUGGGAUUAAAGAUGUGUACCACUGGGCUGGAGAGAUGGCUCAGAGGUUAAGAGCACUGUCUGUUCUUCCAGAGGUCCUGAGUUCAAUUCCCAGCAACCAGGCAGAACACUGUAUACAUAAUUAAUAAAAUCUUAAAAAAAAAAAAAAAGAUGAGUUAAGUAAAUGGCAGGGCCUGCGCAUGCGCGCGCGCACACACACACACACACACACACACACACACACACACACACACACACACACACACACACACACACACAAAGACAUAGGGCUCAUAGGGCCUUAGUAAGAAUGAGAUAACCAGGUAAACUGAGGUCUAGAAAUGCCUAGUGUUCAGGCUCAACCUUGAAAGAAGGUAACUCUUAACAAGUUCAAGGUAGAAUUGGUUAAUUUCUCAAAACGGACAACCUUAGUGUUUCUUCUGAUAAUAUGCAGGAGUUACAUAAGGGUAUUUCUCUGGGAAAUAAGGGAUAGCCCUGGCUAUCCUGAAACUCCCUCAAACUCAAGAUAUUCACCUGCCUCUGCCUUCCAAGUGCUGGAGUUAAGGUAUGUACUACCACCGCCCAGCUACAAAAGUUCUUGUACAUUCACUCCCCAGAGACAAACUGUCAAACUGUUGCCAACAGAGAUUUUUGGAUUUGGGCUAACCAUGUUCUUGAUGGCAGGCAGGGGUAAAGGAAUUCAUAUAUUAUACCGAAGAGGACUUAUCAGAAGGGUAGUGGAUAACUCAUAGCACUAGAAGUGGGUGGACAAAACAAGCUCAGGACAGUGGCCAAAAAGCCAGGGGACUGAGCCAACCAGGAAUCCAGCAAGGCCCGUUUGCUUGGCUUGUCACUUGAGGAGCCAGUGGACAUGGCAUGGCUGCCCUACUGCACUGAGUGGCGUGUCAUGGACAAUACUGGAAUUGGAUCCUGUUCUAAAAUUUCUGGCUUCUGGGCUUCAGUCUCUGGAUUCUGAAUCCAACUGGCUAAGCUAAAGCCCUGAGCCUGCAGAGUAAGUGCAUCUGCCCUGGGGCAGCUAAAGACAGGCAGGCAGGCAGGCAGGCAGGCAGACACACACUCACACACACAGACACACAGACACACAGACACACACACACACACAGAGCCUGGAGAAUAAGUGUGUAGCAGCCUGCACCACAACUAAGUUUGAAUAUGAGAGAAUGUCUCUCACCUUUAUAGUGGAGCAGCCUUAUAUACAAACUUACAAAAACCCCAGGUGAAAGGGUUCACAAUAGAAUAUUGAUGCUAGUGGGGUACGGUCAGGAAAACAGGAGGUACCGGUGGUUAUCUGGAAAACAACACAUAGAGACCCCGUGGGGGCUGGGUCCCAACAUAAAUGCAUCUACCUUGGGGCACAGUUCUGGUGUCACUUAGUCUUGCAACAGACUGGAUUCCUUAAGAAAGUGAGACAUGCCUGUGAUGGCUAUCCUUAGAUGUCAAUCUGAAUGGAUCAUAAAUGGACUAUCCAAAACUGGAGGGCACACCUGUGAGGAAUUUUUACUACAUUUGAAGAUCCACUUCUAAUCCAAAACUUGGUGUGUGAAGACACACCUUUAAUCACCAACGCUGACCUGGCUACAGUUCCUGAUGAGGACCAGAUCUGCCGAGAACAGAGACCAUCACUGAGCCCCAGAUAUGGUACCAUUUCCCAGGAUGAUCAAUCAGUGACCUGGUGGCAGUUUGGAUCAUUUCCUCCUUGAAAAGGACAAUACUUUGUUCUUACUGGAGUAGAUAGUUAUUAUGGUUAUAGAUUUGUCUGUCCUGCACAUAAUGCUUCUGCCAAAACCACCAUCCAUGAACUUACCAAAUGCCUUAUUCACUGUCAUGGUAUUCCAUGCAGUACUGCUUCUGAUCAAGGAACUCAUUUCACAGGCAGCCAUUGUUGGAUUAGGCAGACUAAGGCCUGUAAAUCAUUCUAUAAAUCCCAUUUACGUACGUACGUACGUGUGUGUGUGUGUGUGUGUGUGUGUGUGUGUGUGUGUGUACGUACGUGUGUGUGUGUGUGUGUGUGUGUGUGUGUGUGUGUGUGUGUGUGUGUGUGUGUGUCAUUAUAUAAUUUCUAUUCAUUAUGUAAGAACCCUGACUAAUACAGCACAUAGCAAAUAGGUUUCAUUAGAGCUCUUCUGUUUGGACAUGUAUGGCAUCUUAUAUACAUUUAUUUAGUUCAUCUUCUGUCUCAAUUGAAGUUUGCUCUGUGUGUGUGUGUAGCCUGUACUGGUUAAAACUGACAUUUUAGGCAUAUUUAAACACAAUUUGGUGAAAACUUUCUUGGUGAUAAGUCAAUCCCAUGUACACAAUUAACUCAAAACUGUGUGCACAACAAAGCUUAAUACACAACUAAAUUGAAACUCUUUGUAAAGUACAUGUGACAUUUUUCUUAAACAUAGUUUCUAUAGUAGUAAAGGCCUUUAAUCCCAGAAUUUGGGAGGCUGAGGCAGGCAUAUCUCUAAGUUCAAGGUCAGCCUGGUCUAUAGAGGUUCCCAACAGCCAGGGCUGUUACACAGACAAACCCUGUCUCGAAAAAAACAGAAACCAACCAAACAAAAAACUUGUUUCUAUAGAUUGAUAAAAAACAAACAACAAACAAAAACACUAUUUCUAUAGAUUGAUAAAAACAAAACAAAAAACCCACUAAUGAUAAGGGCGGGGGGAGACGGAGAUUGGUGUGGUCUCCCAUCCUACAGAUAGCACAAAGGUCACCAGGCUGUUAAUCACGUUCAUUCCCAGCCUUCUAGGAGGAAAUAGGUUAUAUCACAAUCACUAAAGAGACAACCCAGUGUGUUUAGCAUUGCUGGUUCCUUAGUGCUCUUCUGUGAGCACAAGAAUCUCUGUGCUCACAAAUUAAUAACAAAUUAAGUUAUUUCUUAAACUCUUGUAGAGCAUUGUGUCUUUUGCCAAUUCUCACUGCAUUGUAAUAAACAGUGUAUAGUCAAGAGUCUCCUUGAAAGCCUCCUGGUACAGAUGGAUGUCCAGUAGGAUACUGGUGAAAUUGCUGAGUCAAAUGACUCAGUCAACUGUUGCAAGACUGACCUGCAGAAAACACAUGUAGAGUCGGGGAAACCCGAGAGGGCCCAGAGACGUGUCUUUUUGGGGGAGGAGGGGUGUCUGUUAAAGGUCUGACCGGAUCUUCUUAGGAAGAAGUUUCGGCGGCCCGGGCUGUAGAAGCGCCCGGGUCAUCCCUACAGAUGAAUUGCACCGCUCCUGAGCGCCGGCGGUCGCAACCAGGCGGGGCGCUGUCUCCAGUUCCCCGGGUCUGCAUCCCAGGGGCGUCCGGGUUUGAGCGGCUGCGCCACCAUGUGCUAGUCCGCGUCCUCCCCCGCGGGGCCAAAGCGUCCUCGCCACAUUCCUCCUAACACAAACACAUUAAACAAGUGGAAAACACGGGCUGCGUGAGCCCAACCUCCCGCCCGGUCUGGGGCGCUUUCUUCAGACUCCCCCGGACUUGGAAGCAAGGGCCGGGACCCCUGGAGGAGCACCGGAAGCGGUGACACCUCGGGCCCGGGAACGUUAGGAACUCGUGGGGACGCGGGAAUCCUGCUGGUUCCGUGUUUGCCCGCCAUGGCGGCCAUCAGCCAAGGGGCCCGAGCCGAGGGUAGCGAAGCUUAGGAAGGUUGCCCAACGUCAAGUGGCUUCAGAAAGCUGCCGGGCGCAUAAAGCCGCCAGCAGGUCCCAUGGUGUAAUGGUUAGCACUCUGGACUUUGAAUCCAGCGAUCCGAGUUCAAAUCUCGGUGGGACCUCACUGACCUUUUUUUGGCCUCAGAAUCCUUGUUUUGAGGCCUGCAGGAAGUAGCAACCUACCCAAGGCUGGACGGCGGAAGGCACUGACCUGCAGGACGGCCGUUCAGCUUCCCUCCCCGGGUUCAACACGCUUACAUUUCAGGAACCGCCGGGGCUGGGUGGCACUGCGCACGCGCGCCGCGUCAGGCGGAAAAAUAAACGUGUUGAUGGAAGACUGAACCUAACUUUACCCUGAAGGGAAAAACGAAAGAACCCGAAGGCUCUCGACGAGGCUCUGCAGGCGGGGUACGGCCCCUCUCGGCGCGCCUGGAAGGCCCCACCCCGUAUUCUCUGAUUGGCUAGUGUGCAGACGCGCGGCGGGAUUGCUUUGUGAAGGGCGAAUGAAGUGGCCGGACGGGGCCAGGGGGCGGGCAAGGGGCGCCAGGGGACCUCUGAUUGGUCACAAGCGAGUGGUACCCGGAGGCUUGUGUUUGGUCUCGAUUAAGCGUUGCUCACCCAGCGAGGUUUGUUUUUCAGUUAGACAAGAGUCCCUUAGCCAGCGGACAGCUGGUCAGGACCGUUUUUCACCGUCCGUGGGGUGUUUCUCCAAGCGGAGGACAGGAAGCGCUAAGGGUUCCUCCUGCAGCAGCGUAGUGAUUGGCACCGUGCUAUAGAUUCCUACUCUUGGGAGGAUGCUAUGGAAACAAAAAGGAGCCUCGCUUCGCUCUCCGUUAAUCCUCAGAGCACGCCUCUUCCCGGCCCGACCCGCGCACCCUUUAAAACGUCUGAAUGGACCAGUUUGAAUGAGCCACCCCGGGCCUCAAAACAUAUCUAGGCAUGAGAGGAGGGAGGAUUUGCGCUACCAGAGAAUAAACUGCUUGUCAACUGUACACUAAAGAAAUUAAGGCAAUAUCCGGAUGGAUAAACAUACCGAUGGAAUAGAAUAGAGAACCAAGAUAUAGCCCCACCUUUAUGGACAGUAGUCAAUAACAAAGGCGUUAUAAAAAGAAAAUGCUCGAGUGAUGGAGCUUCGGGUGCCUGGAGAUCAUCUGGGGAACUCAGAGACCUCUCUCUGUCUGCUGUGGUGUCAGAAGUUUUGCACUCAGGAGGAGAUGGAACUACGCACAGUUAGGUCUUCUUGGCUUCCAUCCCAAGUGAAUCCUCCCAGCUCAGAGCUUUGCGGGCCAGGAGCUUUCAAAUCUUCUUUUCCAGGGGUCUCCCUCCCACUCUUUUGUUUGUUUAUUCAUUGGUACUAAGACUGUCAG